AGCUUUGCACAUUGGUAAUAUCAUAGCCAAUGAAGGUUUACUGAAGUGUGAUUACUGCUAUUUGAAAACUUUACCCGAUAUAUAUAUAUAUAUAUAUAUAUAUAUAUAUAUAUAUAUAUAUAGAUUAUAUAUAUGUAU